ACUAAUACACACAUUAGUUUACGCUCAGAAGUCGUCGCGUGCGGUUCUCGUUAUAGUUUUUUUUGGGACGUGUAAUAACAAAGAAAAAAGUUUGUGUGUGUAAAAGAAAGAAAACAAACAGUUAAUUUGGUAAAAAAUAACAAGUAAAUUCUAAUAGAAAUAACAAAUUUUAAUUAAACAUAAUCAAUAUUCUUUAAAAUGUUUAAUAAACAUGUAAUUUUAAAGAAACUAAAACCAGUUUCUUAAAUUCUAUUAAAAAAAAGCCACAAAAAAGUGUAAUUGUUUUUGCCGAAAAUCGAAGAAAUAAAAAAACAGAAAACACAAACAAAACAAGAAUAAGAAUAAGAAUUUUAGCAGAGCAAAACUCUAGUUGUUGUUUUUGUUUAAAGAGAAAGGUCGUGUAAAGGAGUAAAAUAAAGAUAAAGAGAAUUUAAAUAAUAUUACUUUAAUAAUAAUAAAAAAGAAGAAGAAGACAAGUGUUUUGGUGUUUUUUUUUGUUGGCUGCAAACAACUACAAACAUUUGGCAGCAGUAGCAGAAAGAAAAAAAACAACAACUAUAACAGCCUGCAAGUGAAAUUUAGCUAAACAAGCUUCUACAUGUUUGUUUGUUUGUUUAAUCAAAUUUACUGCUGCAGCAGUAAAGUUUCAAUAAAGAAGAAUUUAAUAAAUUUAUCAUCAAUUUAAGAAAAACCUGGAUUAACAUCAACGCUUACUAAAUAAAUUUACCAGUUUAGCCGCUAAUAACAAAUUUCGCAAACGGUUUUUGUAAAAUUUGCUUCUUCUCUAAUAAGGCAUCUCAUACAAAUAAAAAUUCAUUCAUUUGAACAUCCACAACUUUAAACUUCAUUUGCGCUAAAUAAAACUCUAAUAAAGAUGUGUGUAUAAAAAGUUAUAAUUUCCUAAUCAAAAGCAAAAUAAACUAAAAAUAUAAAAAACUUGUAAAAAUCUUGUAAA